rnacentral:rRNA from 1 species
GACAGAGGUCCCGAGCGUUAGGCGGAAUCACUGGGCUUAAAGCGUGUGUAGGCGGAUUUGUAAGUACCUUGUGAAAUCCCACAGCUCAACUGUGGAACUGCUUGGUAUACUGCUUAUCUUGGGCCAUCUAGGGGCUACCGGAACAAGUGGUGGAGCGGUGAAAUGCGUAGAUAUCGCUUGGAACGCCGAAGGUGAAAACAGGCUGCUGGGGUUGCGCCGACGCUGAGACACGAAAGCCAGGGGAGCAAACGGG